GACAGAGGAUGCAAGCGUUAUCCGGAAUGAUUGGGCGUAAAGAGCUCGUAGGCGGUUUGUCGCGUCGGCUGUGAAAGCCCGGAGCUCGACUCCGGGUCUGCAGUCGAUACGGGCAGACUUGAGUGUUGCAGGGGAGACUGGAAUUCCUGGUGUAGCGGUGAAAUGCGCAGAUAUCAGGAGGAACACCGGUGGCGAAGGCGGGUCUCUGGGCAACAACUGACGCUGAGGAGCGAAAGCGUGGGGAGCGAACAGG
rnacentral:rRNA from 1 species